rnacentral:rRNA from 1 species
GACGAACGCUGGCGGCGUGCUUAACACAUGCAAGUCGAACGGAAAGGCCCCUUUGGGGGUACUCGAGUGGCGCACGGGUGAGUAACACGUGAGUAACCUGCCCUUGACUUCGGGAUAACUUCAGGAAACUGGGGCUAAUACCGGAUAGGAAUCCUUGCUGCAUGGUGGGGGUUGGAAAGCUUCGGCGGUUUUGGAUGGACUCGCGGCUUAUCAGCUUGUUGGUGGGGUAGUGGCUUACCAAGGCUUUGACGGGUAGCCGGCCUGAGAGGGCGACCGGCCACAUUGGGACUGAGAUACGGCCCAGACUCCGACGGGAGGCAGAGGUGGGGAAUAUUGCACAAUGGGCGGAAGCCUGAUGCAGCAACGCCGCGUGCGGGAUGACGGCCUUCGGGUUGUAAACCGCUUUCAGCAGGGGCGAAGCUUGUGGUGACGGUACCUGCAGAAGAAGCACCGGCUAACUACGUG